UUUCAAAUUGAAAUUGAUUAA
rnacentral:piRNA from 1 species